AGAGUAGGCGCAGGUGGUUGCAAAUUAGGCACGGCAGCUAAUUUGAGGAAAGUCCGGGCUUCCGAAAGACCAAACUUGCUGGGUAACGCCCAGUGCGAGCGAUCGUGAGGAUAGUGCCACAGAAAGAUACCGCCGAUUUCUACGGAAAUAGGUAAGGGUGCAAAGGUGCGGUAAGAGCGCACCAGCAGCGCCGAGAGACGCUGGCUCGGUAAACCCCGGUUGGAAGCAAGGUCAAAGGAAUAACGGUUGGUCUUUUACCUAUUCCACUGCCUAAUAACCGCUUGAGGCGCUUGGUAACAAUCGUCCCAGAUAGAUAACCGCCCUGGUGGAAAAGAAAGAUGUAGCACCGCUACGUCUCUACAUUAUCAUCAGAACAGAACCCGGCUUAUGUCCGACUCUUUCC
rnacentral:RNase_P_RNA from 1 species